GCGCGGCUUCCAAAUACUUUUGUAUCGGAUUUGAAAGGGCUGGGUGGGUGGGGGGGAGGGUCCUGGCGCUUCAGUCCAGCACCAACCUGCGUAGCGUAGCUCGAAAAGAAGCCCCGCGAUUUCGCGGUGGGUUUUCCCUGGAAGGUCUCUGGGAUUCGAGUCUACCGCGCGUUUCCUCGGGUGUGAGUUUCACUGGGCUUACUCCCAAUUUUCCUUUGACUUCCCGCCAUCAGAAAAACUCCAAACGAAGCCAGAAUAGGCUCUUCAGAAGAAACACUGCUGCGUGUGUGUGUACCUUCCACUCUUAGUGAACUUGUAGCAGCCAUUCCUUCAGACUGCACGAUUGGGAAGGAGGAAGACAAACCCACUUCACAAGUUUGUUGAGAUUGUGUCACUUCCUGAACUGUUUCCAUACAGGUUUUGUGUAAGAACUG